AAGACCUCGCGCUAUUAGAGCGGCCGACGCCCGAUUAGCUAGUUGGUGAGGUAAUGGCCCACCAAGGCAACGAUCGGUAGCUGGUCUGAGAGGAUGAUCAGCCACACUGGGACUGAGACACGGCCCAGACUCCUACGGGAGGCAGCAGUGGGGAAUUUUGGACAAUGGGCGAAAGCCUGAUCCAGCCAUGCCGCGUGAGUGAAGAAGGCCUUCGGGUUGUAAAGCUCUUUCAGCCGGAACGAAAUCGUCCGGGCUAAUACUCCGGAUGGAUGACGGUACUGGAAGAGGAAGCACCGGCUAACUACGUGCCAGCAGCCGCGGUAAUACGUAGGGUGCAGGCGUUAAUCGGAAUUACUGGGCGUAAAGCGUGCGCAGGCGGCUUUUCAAGUCAGAUGUGAAAUCCCCGGGCUUAACCUGGGAACU
rnacentral:rRNA from 1 species